rfam:Pochonia chlamydosporia 170 PCv3seq00008, whole genome shotgun sequence.
ACAUACGACCAUAGCCGCCAGUAGAGCUCAGGAUCCCGUUUGAUCUCCCAAGAGAAUCUGGCGAGCGCUAGAUUAGUAGUUAGCUCGGUGACGACUAGCGAAUACCUAGUGUUGUAUGUU